rnacentral:lncRNA from 1 species
UAAUGUGUGAAAUUAUUUUAUUGGAUUAUUGGGAAAUGUCGAAAUUGUUGAAUUAUUGAGGAACCUUGGAAUUGUGGCAUUCAUUUGCAUCAUGGUUAUGUGGAAAAUAAAUAAAAUUAUGAAGAUUGUGAAAAGUGUAUGAAAUGGAAAAAAAAAAAAAAAGAAAUAGUGAUGAGAAGUGAAAGCCAUGUGGGGCGAAUUAAGAAGGGAGAGAGAUCCCUAGGGUGAAAGACCCAAAAGUUACCCCGGGAAGACUCCGAAUGGGGAGUGUAUUUGGG